UACGUAGGGUGCAAGCGUUGUCCGGAAUUAUUGGGCGUAAAGAGCUCGUAGGCGGUUUGUUGCGUCGGCUGUGAAAUCCCGAGGCUCAACCUCGGGUCUGCAGUCGAUACGAGCAAACUAGAGUGUUGCAGGGGAGACUGGAAUUCCUGGUGUAGCGGUGAAAUGCGUAGAGAUCGGGAAGAACAUCAGUGGCGAAGGCGGCCUGCUGGGCUGUUGCUGACGCUGAGGCGCGACAGCGUGGGGAGCAAACAGG
rnacentral:rRNA from 1 species